GAAGUUUUCUUUUAUCCAGUAAUUUAAUGGAUAUGUCAAGCUUUCUUGUUUAGUCCAUCUUAAGUCAUUCAUACACAAUCCAUCAGUAAACACUAAAAAAAGGUUAUUACAGCUGAAGUUAACACAUCAUGACACAAAUGACUCCUAAACACAAACACAGCAGUACAAAAGUAUUUUCAACCUGGUUUUAAACAUAAUGAAAAUUACCUUUUUCCUUAGUAUAUAUUAGUAAAUGCUGGUAUUGCUGCAUAAACAUUUAACAUUUUCAAAAUGAAUUCUUAUUUUUUGAAAUUAGACUGUUUUAGUAAGUUGUUCAUAAAUAAUGUUAGUACACAUUUAUUGUUGAUUGACAUAAAGUAGGAUGCUUUAUUAUUAUUCUUUUAAAUUGUUUCAUAAUAGGUCAGUUUGGUUUGCCAAAAGUUGAAAUCUCUAAAGAACAACUGAAGCUAUUAAUUUCACAAGGAUACACAGGGAAAAGAAUUGCAGAACACAUAGGAUGUUCUGCAUCUUAUAUUUAUAAACGCCUGAAAACUGAGGGUCUGUCACCAAGACAGAAAUUCAGCAGUAUAGCAGAUAAUGAACUGGAUGAAGAAUGCAAAAGACUACAAGCAAGUUGUCCAAAUGCCGGUUCUGAGAUGAUGUCAGGAAUGCUAAGAGCAAGGGGAAUACAUGUGCAAAGGGACAGACUUCGACGCACAUUGGCUAGACUUGACCCAGUUGGCACUGCUCAGAGAUGGUCACAAACUGUUCAAAGAAGGUCAUACCAUGCCGUCUCACCUAACAGUAUAUGGCACAUUGACAGUCACAUGAAGCUUAUAAGGUGGGGCUUUGUUGUACAUGGUGCUAUCGAUGGCUUUUCCCGUCUAAUACCUUAUUUAAGUUGUGCUACAAAUAAUUCUU